rnacentral:rRNA from 1 species
ACGGUAAAGAUAGUUAGGCAAGUGAUAAUAAGGACCAUAAGAUCUUUAGUGGAGGAGUAAAAUCUAGACACUAAAAGUUAUACCGGACGUGGUUUAUUUUCGAUGCUGAAUCUGUGAUAGCUUUAAGGGAAACUGGGAUUGGAUACCCCAUUAUUUAUAGUUGUAAAUUUAGUUUGAGCUUACCAGAGUACUACGAAUAAAUAGUUUAAAACUCAAAGGGCUUGGCGGUGUUUUAGACCUCUCAGGGGAACCUGUCUCAUAAUCGACAAUCCACGCUAGACCUGACCUUUUAUGGCAAUACAGCCUGUAUACCGUCGCCGUCAGGUAACUUCUUAAAAUAUAGUAGUUAGCUUGAGAAUUUUAUUGAUUAGGACGUCAGAUCAAGGUGCAGCUAAUAAAGAGGUGAGGAUGGGUUACAAUUACAUAUUUGUAAAUACGGAAAACACUUGAAAUUAAGUGUCUUAAAGGAGGACUUGAAAGUAAUUUUAAUUAUAUAAGUAAAAUGAAUAAGGCUCUGAAACGUG